rnacentral:rRNA from 1 species
GAUGAACGCUGGCGGUAUGCCUUACACAUGCAAGUCGAACGAAAGCUUAGCUUUAGUGGCAAACGGGUGAGUAACACGUAAGAAUCUGCCUUCAGGAGGGAAAUAACAUUUGGAAACGAUUGCUAAUGUCCCAUAUGCUGAAAAGUGAAAUAAUUUUUGCCUGAAGAUGAGCUUGCGCCUGAUUAGCUAGUUGGUAAGGUAAUGGCUUACCAAGGCUACGAUCAGUAGCUGGUUUGAGAGGAUGAUCAGCCACACUGGAACUGAGACACGGUCCAGACUUCUACGGAAGGCAGCAGUGGGGAAUUUUCCGCAAUGGGCGAAAGCCUGACGGAGCAAUACCGCGUGAGGGAUGAAUGCCUGU